AACGAACGCUGGCGGCAUGCCUAACACAUGCAAGUCGAACGAGACCUUCGGGUCUAGUGGCGCACGGGUGCGUAACGCGUGGGAACCUGCCCUUAGGUUCGGAAUAACUCCCCGAAAGGGGUGCUAAUACCGGAUAAUGUCUUCGGACCAAAGAUUUAUCGCCUUUGGAUGGGCCCGCGUUGGAUUAGCUAGUUGGUAGGGUAAAAGCCUACCAAGGCGACGAUCCAUAGCUGGUCUGAGAGGAUGAUCAGCCACACUGGGACUGAGACACGGCCCAGACUCCUACGGGAGGCAGCAGUGGGGAAUAUUGGACAAUGGGCGAAAGCCUGAUACAGCAAUGCCGCGGGAGUGAUGAAGGCCUUAGGGUUGUAAAGCUCUUUUACCCGGGAUGAGAAUGACAGUACCGGGAGAAUAAGCUCCGGCUAACUCCGUG
rnacentral:rRNA from 1 species